rnacentral:rRNA from 1 species
AUUGAACGCUGGCGGCAUGCCUUACACAUGCAAGUCGAACGGCAGCACGGGUGCUUGCACCUGGUGGCGAGUGGCGAACGGGUGAGUAAUACAUCGGAACGUACCUUAUCGUGGGGGAUAACGCAGCGAAAGCUGUGCUAAUACCGCAUACGCCCUGAGGGGGAAAGCGGGGGAUCGCAAGACCUCGCGCGAUUAGAGCGGCCGAUGCCUGAUUAGCUUGUUGGUGGGGUAAAGCCCACCAAGGCGACGAUCAGUAGCUGGUCUGAGAGGACGAUCAGCAGCACUGGGAGUGAGACACGGCCCAGACUCCUACGGGAGGCAGCAGUGGGGAAUUUUGGACAAUGGGGGCAACCCUGAUCCAGCAAUGCCGCGUGAGUGAAGAAGGCCUUCGGGUUGUAAAGCUCUUUUGUCAGGGAAGAAACACCGGCUCUAACACAGUCCGGGAAUGACGGUACCUGAAGAAUAAGCACCGGCUAACUACGUGCCAGCCGCCGCCGUAA